rnacentral:rRNA from 1 species
UGAGGAAUAUUGGACAAUGGCCGGAAGGUUGAUCCAGCCAUGCCGCGUGCGGGACGAGGGCCCUACGGGUCGUAAACCGCUUUUGUACGGGAAGAAACCCCAUUACGUGUAAUGGGCUGACGGUACCGUAAGAAUAAGGACCGGCUAACUCCGUGCCAGCAGCCGCGGUAAUACGGAGGGUCCGAGCGUUAUCCGGAAUCAUUGGGUUUAAAGGGUCCGCAGGCGGGCCGAUAAGUCAGGGGUGAAAGGCCACGGCAGAACCGAGGGACUGCCCCUGAUACUGUCGGCCUUGAGUCAUGGUGAGGUUGCCGGAACAUGUGGUGUAGCGGUGAAAUGCAUAGAUAUCACAUAGAACACCGAUCGCGAAGGCAGGUGGCCAACCAUGUACUGACGCUGAUGGACGAAAGCGUGGGGAGCGAACGGGAUUAGAUACCCCUGUAGUCC